rnacentral:rRNA from 1 species
GAUGAACGCUAGCGAUAGGCUUAACACAUGCAAGUCGAGGGGCAGCAUGGUCUUAGCUUGCUAAGACUGAUGGCGACCGGCGCACGGGUGCGUAACGCGUAUGCAACUUGCCUCACAGAGGGGGAUAACCCGUCGAAAGACGGACUAGUACCGCGUACACUCCAUCUUGGGCAUCCAAGGUAGAGGAAAUGAAAUUCGCUGUGAGAUAGGCAUGCGUCCCAUUAGCUAGUUGGUGAGGUAACGGCUCACCAAGGCGACGAUGGGUAGGGGAACUGAGAGGUUGAACCCCCACACUGGUACUGAGACACGGACCAGACUCCUACGGGAGGCAGCAGUGAGGAAUAUUGGUCAAUGGGCGAGAGCCUGAACCAGCCAAGUCGCGUGAAGGAUGACUGUCUUAUGGAUUGUAAACUUCUUUUAUACGGGAAUAACAAGAGUCACGUGUGACUCCCUGCAUGUACCGUAUGAAUAAGCAUCGGCUAACUCCGUG